rnacentral:rRNA from 1 species
UACGAAGGGGGCUAGCGUUGCUCGGAAUCACUGGGCGUAAAGCGCACGUAGGCGGCUUUCUAAGUCAGGGGUGAAAUCCUGGAGCUCAACUCCAGAACUGCCUUUGAUACUGAGAGCCUUGAGUUCGGGAGAGGUGAGUGGAACUGCGAGUGUAGAGGUGAAAUUCGUAGAUAUUCGCAAGAACACCAGUGGCGAAGGCGGCUCACUGGCCCGAUACUGACGCUGAGGUGCGAAAGCGUGGGGAGCAAACAGG